CCUACGGGGGGCACCAGUGGGGAAUAUUGCACAAUGGGGGAAACCCUGAUGCAGCCAUGCCGCAUGUGUGAAGAAGGCCCUCGGGUUGUAAAGCACUUUCAGCGAGGAGGAAAGGUCAGUAGCUAAUAUCUGCUGGCUGUGACGUUACUCGCAGAAGAAGCACCGGCUAACUCCGUGCCAGCAGCCGCGGUAAUACGGAGGGUGCAAGCGUUAAUCGGAAUUACUGGGCGUAAAGCGCACGCAGGCGGUUGGAUAAGUUAGAUGUGAAAGCCCCGGGCUCAACCUGGGAAUUGCAUUUAAAACUGUCCAGCUAGAGUCUUGUAGAGGGGGGUAGAAUUCCAGGUGUAGCGGUGAAAUGCGUAGAGAUCUGGAGGAAUACCGGUGGCGAAGGCGGCCCCCUGGACAAAGACUGACGCUCAGGUGCGAAAGCGUGGGGAGCAAACAGGAUUAGAUACCCUUGUAGUC
rnacentral:rRNA from 1 species